GAGAUGGCUCCAGGAAGAUGUAAUAGCAGCUUUUAUUACCCAAAGGAGACCUACAGGAAAUCUUGAGAGGGAUUCGUACAAGGGCAAGUGGUGAUAAGAAAAAGGACAAUGACUUCAAACUGAGAGGAAAACCACCUCGAAGACCCUGGAAUGUUUGACACUCCUGGGAACAGACUUCAGCAAUUAAUCGAACGCCACCCAGCGUUAGAAGAAGAAAUCGCUACUUCUUAGUUCCACUCUAAGCACCUGAACAAAGUUCAAUUCAGUGAUGAUGGUGCCCAGUUUGGGCAUGUAGGCUGUUCAGGUUUUGUGCAGUCUGAGCUCAUCAGAACAAAUACCGAUGAAGACAGGUAAUA